UACGUAGGGUGCAAGCGUUGUCCGGAAUUAUUGGGCGUAAAGAGCUCGUAGGCGGUCUGUCGCGUCUGCUGUGAAAACUCAGGGCUUAACCCUGAGCUUGCAGUGGGUACGGGCAGACUAGAGUGCGGUAGGGGAGACUGGAAUUCCUGGUGUAGCGGUGAAAUGCGCAGAUAUCAGGAGGAACACCGAUGGCGAAGGCGGGUCUCUGGGCCGUAACUGACGCUGAGGAGCGAAAGCAUGGGGAGCGAACAGG
rnacentral:rRNA from 1 species